GAUGACGGUACUGUAAGAAUAAGGACCGGCUAACUCCGUGCCAGCAGCCGCGGUAAUACGGAGGGUCCGAGCGUUAUCCGGAAUUAUUGGGUUUAAAGGGUCCGUAGGCGGGCUGUUAAGUCAGAGGUGAAAUGCUGCGGCUCAANU
rnacentral:rRNA from 1 species